UGGUGUGCCUUUUGGUUUGAUCUUAAAUGAAUGGAGUGCACAUUCUUCUGGAGAGUCUAGUAUUUCCUAAACUUUACAUGGAUAUUAAAAAGCAGUCCUGUAAUUGAAAAUAUCCAGAUCCCAAAAUACUUUUAUUUCCUUGUGAACAACUUUUAUCAUUUAAUCAGUGUCAGUAAGUAUAAAUUUCAGACUCUCUCUCACACAAACACACACAUACACACACAUACAUACACACCUGGAGAGAGAUAGAGAGAAAGGUAUAUCUACAUAGACACUCACACACAGAGACAGACACAUAUACACUAUGAAUGUCUAAUAAAUUUGACAUGUUCAUUCUUAUAGCUUUUCCAUCAGUAGUCAUACAAGAUGAAAACUUUUGUGUAUAUUUCUCAUUACUACAGUCUCUUUUGCAUAUAUAUUCAUUUGCCCACCAUGUAUUACUAUAGUAUGACACCAAAGUUUUAUACUUUUGGGAAAUUGAUAAGUGAUCUUUUAGAUCUGGUUGAAAGGGGAAGGAAUACCCAACAGAGUGAUCUCAUGGGUCUUGACAUGAUGAAUUCAGAGAAAAAGGAAAGUAUCUGUACCUAGGAUUCAUUGUCAGGUUUAAAGAGUAUUAUGAUGAGAUGGGCAAAAUUAAUUACUAUUGGAAUAUCUUUGCACACACGUGUCAUAUGAUGAUGAAUCAGAGAUGAUUGAUAGAGUUGCAGUAAAUAAUAAUGUUUAGUCAACAGGUGACAUCAAACAAAGUAAAAAGAUGAAGGAUAAUCAUUUUGAAAUGUUUCUGUUAUUGCAGUUGAAGGUGACAAUACAUUUGGACCUGUGUAUGUAACACCAGAGUUUACAAUCUUUGCCAGUCGGAAUGUGGAUAGAACUGGCCUGACUACAAACAUGAUUUAUGUUUUUGGAAAAGGUCAACCUUUGACUCCUGAACAAUAUGAAAAAAUUGAGGAAUUUGCCAAGGAACAGAACAUUCCAACAGAAAACAU